GUCGUGGACCAUCUUAAUUGCUCUCCCCUCCCCUUGCAGAGGCUUGGAAGUCCCAGAGCCUCAGUGUCGCUGUUACUGCUGCUUCUACUAGUACAUGUUGUUGCUGUUGUUAUUAAAACCAAGCAUUAUUGUUGUUGUUAUAUGUCUUCAAGUUGAUUCCAACUUACAGUGAUCCUAUCAGAGUUUUCUUUGCAAGAUUUCUUCAGAAGAGGAUUGCCAUUGCCUUCUUUUAAAGCCAAGAAAAAUCUUUGCUCAAGAUCACCCUGUGAAUUUCCAUGCCUGAGAAAGGAUGUGAACUCUCAUCUCCCAGAGCCAAAAUACAACAUUCAAAGCAUUGUACCAUGCAAGUUCUCAAAAACUGAACAUAGUGAAUAAUUCAUUUUUGUAAACAUGCAUACUCCAAAUAGCUUAAUGUUUGAGUAAUAAGACACAUAUGUCAGAGUAUCUGCAAUUAAAGUAAAAAAAAAAUCAAUCAGACCACAGGAUUGUCUUGCAGUUAUCUCCCAUUCAUAGAGACUAUAAAAGGAAGACUCACAAAUCUCAGACUUAUGAGAAACUUCCAGGUUUUAGCUGCAUUUUUGGUAGCAGGUCUUUGAUUUGCAGCCAAGUAUUAAAUAUUUUUCUCUCCAUCUUGAGAGAAAAAGAAAAACGUAGUUGGUGGAAAGAGCUAUCUUUCAGUUCAUUGUUUUGGGGCUCACUAAUAGAAAGAAAUUUGUAAAAAGGGGUUUUCUUUUCAACCAUGUGGGCUUUAUUAUUUAUAGCCAUAGAUAUUACCUAAACAUUUACAUGGUGGAAGCAGGUCUAAGGGAUAUAUAUCUUGAACAUUUCAGUAGUCUUAAUAGCUCAGACAACAGGGUGUUCAUAGCUACCACUUUCUAGAUACCCUUGAUCUAGAUAGUCAUAUCAUUUAUGGAGACGGUUUGUUUGAUUGAAUUUCCAGCUUGAAUUGUUCUCUGAUCAUUGGGUGGGCAGAAAGACUCUGUGUAACUAGAUCAACUGGUCUGGAUUCUUCUUUGUCUUAUACACUAUAAAGUGGCCAUCUACCUAUGGGUUCAGAAAAGACACCAUGGUCAGAACUGAGAUGUUAUCCAGUCUUCUGGUUUAUGUAUUAGAAUGUUACUUUAGGUUUAGUCCCAACAUGACUCAUUAAUUUACCAUUCUUAUUUCAACAGUGACUGCAGCUGUUGUUGGCAAAAAGGUGGUUCUUCUCCUCUAAAUUAGAAAAUCCCUCAGAUGGUAGGAGGAAGGGGUUCAAAUGCAUGCUUCACUGUUAGAUGUGUCCAAGUGAGCACUUCCUCAAGAUACUCAUGCCAAGUGAUAAGGGGAAUUAAGUAUUUCUCACUAGAUUCAGAGGAGUAGUCUAAAUGGAAGGGUCUCAUUUCAAAGGGUAUUGGCAAUCUGAGCAGUUGGGUUAGCUUUUAGCUUCCCUUUAAACAUGGAAAAUUUCUAUCUGUGUGUAUAGUAGUAGUAGUAGUAGUAGUAGUAGCAGCAGCAGCAGCAGCAGCAGCACACACAAAAAUUAGGAAUGCAUUUUGAUCUUUAUUAUUAAAGUAUUAUGCUAUCUGACUUUGGAUAAUUCUCAUUCAUAUGAGAAUUUCAGCAUUGGAUAAAAAAUCCUUUUAAAAUAUCAAUGAGUAGGAGCACUAAAACAUCGAUGAGUAGACUUGCUUGCUUCUAGAGAGAAGGAACCAUUGUUAUAUCCUUGAGAAGAAAGAACCUUAUCCGAGAUUGUCAAAGAUACUUUAAGCUCCUGUUCUGAAAGGAACAUUCCCUUGUGAAAGUUGUCUUGGGAUGUUUUCUUGGUUGUGUUGCAUAGGACCUAAAAGUAAAUUGGUCUCUUGCUUGAGUCUUGUGGCUUGCAGAAGCACCUCACACAACCACACUAUCAGAAUAAGGACCCAAAUGCUUCUCAUACCUGUGUACCAUUUUUCAGACAUGAAGCAGAAAAGGCAUGAAUCAGAUCAGUGUAUGUGUAAGCCCAACCGCAUAGUGUGACAACUAAAGCAUGGUUCUGCAGUUGGAUCACAGAAGCAGCCCAGACUUUGGUCCUUCUUUUUCUUUUAGAGUACUCAUAUUUCUUUUUCUGUUUGCAUUUUCUUUUUGUGUCAGGAGCAACCUGACUUGCGUCUGGUGUGAGAGAAUUGGCCGUCUGCAAGGACGUUGCCCAGGAGACGCCUGGAUGUUUUUGAUGUUUUUACCAUCCUUGUGAGAGGCUUCUCUCAUGCCCCCGCAUGGAGCUGGAGCUGAUAGAGGGAGCUCAUCCGUGCUCUCCUCAGGUGGGAUUCGAACCUGGCAGCCUUCAGGUCAGCAACCCAACCUUCAAGUCACAAGGCUUUAACCCACUACUCCACCGGGGGCUCCUUUUCUUUGCAUUAGUAGUAUAAGUGUGCAAUGCAGAUUGGUGGCUGUACAAAGAGUAGACUGGGGGUUCUUUUUGUAUCGCCGAUUACCCAUCUGUGUUCUAGAAUUUUAUGUCUUUGCCCACCCAAACGUGAAAGCUAGGUUUAAUGGCGCAGGUAAGAUUCAUACUAAGAACUUCCUGAUCGGUAGCUUAGUUUCUCCUACCUGCUGUGUUAUCCCAACUCUCAUUAUAAUGCUGUAAGGUGCUACUUGAGUGACUUUUGAAAAGAAAAACAGAAUUUGUGUUAUUCACAUUGUUUAAUGUUUAACAUCCUAAAAUCACCUGAAUGGGUUAUAAGAAUAGUGCCUUUGAAAAUCUGUUUUGAGGUUGUGGUAAUUGUUGAUGUGUAAGAAUGCUGGAUAAAGGUCAAAAUAAUUUUUAAGAGCUGUUGGUUGCUGCAGAGAUACUUGGUAGGAGGCAUGGUGAUCUUGGACCCUGUGCAUGCCUAACAAUUUAUCAGUCAUGUGCAAAUUAGCUAAAUAUACUUUGGAAAAAUUGACUGCCUUAUACUCACAUGUCAUUAGAGGUAGGUCAGCCAUGCAAGUAGGUUCACAAAAGCUACUCGCUCAAAACAAAUGUAGAUACCCAUGUUGUAGUUGCAUAAAUUUUGUGAGUCAUUUGUCACCAGUUCUGGUGUGCCAUGACUUUUGUACGCUUUCCCCACCACAUUGCUUAGAGACCUUUCUUCUUUGCCCAGUCUGGCAGAUAUUUAUGCGAUUUUUGGUUGGAAUUAGGCUCUAGAGCUCUUGAGUAGUUUCAAAAAGGGUAAUUUCAAAAACGGAGUUAUCUUGACGCAGAAAGUUCAAACCAGGAUAUGUGUUACCAUUCAAUACUCACCCUAAAUUGAUGUACAUGAGAGUAGGCCAGAUUGGAUCAAAAUCACUUACCGAUUAAUAGAAGACAAAAUAGAUGGUGAAGGGGCACAGUUACUUUGGGAUUCAUGGCAAAAACAAUAAACAGAAGAUGGAAAUGAAACAAUACCAGGCUCUGAUCUUUUAUCUUGCAGAGAGAAACCACUGUGUUGAACUCUACUCCCUUCUUACAACACAUUGGUGCUUGGAAUGAGGGGCAGUGCGUAGGCGUUAUAGAAAUUGAUAAUCAGCAGAGAUCCUACCCCAUCCAGCUCUGGUAUUGAACGGUGGCUUUCCAAGAGAUGUAAUCACAAUCAAGCUCCGCAGCAGAAGGGUGAUGAUGUGGCUCAGAGGUUAGGCUUAUGGGUUAGAAGUGGAGAGGGGAGCAGAACAGAAUUGAUUUCUUUGAUAAGUCUGUGAGGUUUCAAAAAAUAUACUUCCUUUCACCCUUUCCCCUCCCAGUGGUCCUCAUCGGAGUCUUGGGCAAGCACAGUGUGCUCUUGGCUCCCUCUCUCUUUUUCAUCCACUCUCGCACACAAAUAUACUCUCAGAUAGACUGAGAGGUCAGGUCCAGAAAGGGAAUAGAUCCUUGUUUCUUUAUUUCUUUAAUCCUGAUCACCUCUACUCUCGUUCCUCUUUCCCUCUAUUUCAAUAUUCAGAUAGCAUAACCUGCUAUUUUAAAAAAAGUAAAUUAGUGUGGUGCAAUGGUUUGAGUAUUGGACUGCAACCCCAAAGACCAAGAUUCAUAUCCUAAAUUGGACUAAAUCCCAACUUGAACACCCCCCCCCCCCAAACAAUUCUUGCCAAGAAAAAUCUGUGAAAGGAUCUCCUUAGGGUCACCAUAAAUCAGAAACAACUUAAAAGCACACAACAGCAACAACAACACACCAGUUUACAUUGGCUCAUACAAUGCAACAUUCCUCUGUGUUGUUGAAGGCUUUCAUGGCCGGAAUCACAGGGUUCUUGUGUGCUUUCCGGGUUGUAUGGCCACGUUCCAGAAGUAUUCUCCCCUGAUGUUUCGCCCACAUCUAUGGCAUGCAUCCUCACAACCUCUGAGGAUGCCUGCCAUAGAUGUGGGCGAAACAUCAGGAGAGAAUACUUCUGGAACAUGGCCAUUCAGCCCGGAAAACACACAACAACCCAACAUUCCUCUCUCAGGAAGGUCCCUAGCUCACUGCAGCAGAUUUGGGGAGGCACGAGGUCUGCGGGAGUGGGAAUUAGCUUGACUCACAGGCAUUGGUAGAUGGUCACCAUCAAGAUAACUCAACAUAAUUAUAAGUGCAGAUUGCAAAUUGCAAUGCAAUUAGUUUAUAAGAAUUUUCUCAUUCAUAGUUUGUUAUAUGCAAGGGAGGUUUAAAUUCAAAAUGAAUGGUGAAACACUCUAAAUUCAUAUUCUCUUAUAGAAUAAUUAAUAGAAGAAAUCUAUUUGAAAAGGUCUUUUCUGGUGGUAUCUCAUUCUGUUUUCAUCCUGUGACAUUUUCCCUGCAUCAGUCUGACCUUGAACUGAUCGUUUGAUAUUUAGAAGUAGUGAACCUAUUGCGCUGUGACAAUCAGAUGUACGGUAUUCAGUUUUCUUCUUAGAUAAAACAAAAUAUUUUAGGGAUUUGUUGUGAUAGCAGGUUCACAUGUUAUAUGUUGGAAUGCCAUCUUUUCUGGAUAACCUUUGAUCUUUGAAAUGCUCUAAAACAUAAUGCAUUUCAAUGCGUAAAAAGCAUAUUCCUUAAAAUUGUAACAUUAUUGUUUUUUCCUUUGCUGGCACUGUCUAUGGCAAUAUUUGGGUGCAAGAUCCAGACUGCUUCUCAAAAAUGUAAAUGCUUCAUAUUCCAUUAAGAUUUUUUCAUGCUUAAACUUUACUUCUCAGCUUAUCCUAAUGAAUAAAGAAUUUCAUUAUUAUAUACAGCUGUUGUGAAUUUUCACUGACUGUGCUUUAAGGUCAGUUGUCAUAUUCAAAGAGAUUAUUGACCUUGAACUGUGAACUCUUUCCUCCUCUGUUACAUUUAUAUCUGUUUCCUGAAAUCAGUUUCAAAGAUCAAUAAAAAGGAGGAGGGGGACAAUAAUUAAAAGUGAAGAACAUGCCAAGUUGGUGUUAGUUACUGAUCUGACAAGUGUCGCAGAUAUCUGAUACACUAGACUUCAAAAUGCCUUGAUGGACAGAGCCAUAAUAGGUCACUUCAUUAUAAGUUUCUUUUAUGGUUAUUUUUAAUUUUUUAAAAUAGAUAUGCAUGAAAAAUACCAGAUAUUGUUGCAUAUGAACUUUUUGUAAUUUGUCGUUAUUGAAUUUUUAAGUAUUCAGCGUUAGUGUGACAUUAGUUGGGAAUCUGAUAGUAUAUCUCUAUUGUGACUGACAUAGUUGAACAAAGUUGUAUCGUUUUAGGAAAAUGGCUAAUUUCUGUUUGAUAAACAUGCAUUGUGAAAUCUCUAUGAGGAGGAACACUGUGUACAAUAUGUACCAGUAAGCAAAGCGGUUUGAUGCCUUUAAUCGCAAUGUUGCAUGUUUAGGAAUAUAUGUAUAACAGGCUGGUACAUGGAAUCAAAUACUAUCUUGGGGCUCUUUCUUUCAGUCAUCCAUCCUUACCUAAUCUUGUGAAUGAAACCUGAGCCAUCUGCUUGACAGAUGGUGUAGGCAGGUUCUUCUUCCUGCUUCACUGCUGUGACCAGCAGCUGUGGAGGACAUAUUAUAUAUCCUCAAGGUUCUUGUGAAGGAUGUUCUGCAACUUCCUCUACUGGACACCAGGUGGAGGUGUUACAAAUGAUGGUGAUCACCUGCAUGUCAUGCAAGUUCCAGUGAGGUAAAGAAAGGCUCAGCCAUUCUUGUGGUUGAUUGGUUUUAUACUGUAUAUGGCAUUGGCAGAGAAAGGUUCAUCCAGAGGGGGGUCUAUCUACUUGACCAAGGAAUCAGGGAUAGACUGGUCCAAAAACCAGGUGGCAGGUUGUCACUCUUUACUUUAAGGGUUUAAAGUAAGGGAUAGUUGCAUCUGUCAAGUAGGAAACUUAGGUACUACUUAUGCGGGGUGGCUAAUUUAACUAAUCCAUGACACCAUAAAAAUUGUCCAGCAACAUGCAGAAGAAUGAGAAAGCAAUCCAUCAAGGACUUGGUGUCACAGUGGAUGAUGAAGCAGCAGCUCCACCUUUGGCUGGAAUCAAGCAUACCCUCAUGAAGCCGGAAGCUGGAAAAUGUUAAAUUGCCUCUGUGUCUUUGUCUCUGUCUCUGUCUGUAUGUAGUAUGGCAUUGAAUGUUUGCCAUGUACAGUAGAGUCUCACUUAUCCAACAUAAACAGGCCAGCAGAAAGUUGGAUAAGCGAAUAUGUUGGAUAAUGAGGGAUUAAGGAAAAGUCUAUUAAACAUCAAAUUAGGUUAUGAUUUUACAAAUUAAGCACCAAAACAUGCUAUACAACAAAUUUGACAGAAAAAGUAGUUCAAUACUCAGUAAUGCUAUAUAGUAAUUACUGUAUUUAUGAAUUUAGCACCAAAAUAUCACGAUGUAUUGAAAACAUUGACUACAAAAAUGCGUUGGAUAAUCCAGAGGCUUGGAUAAGCGAGUGUUGGAUAAGUGAGACUCUACUGUAUAUGUACAUUGUGAUCAGUCCUGAGUUCCCUUCAGGGUGAGAAGGGCAGAACAUAAAUACUGUAAAUUAAUUAAUUAAUUAAUCUGGGAAAUGCCUUGGCUAAACGAGUCAAUUUAUCUUGGCAGGUUAAUUGACUAUACAUCCUGAGGGCUGAAGUUUGCCCUUGUCGGAUCUACAUUGUUGAAUUAGUGUAGUUUGACAUCAUUUUAACUGCCAUGGCUCAAUUCUAUGAAAUCCUAGAGAUUGUAGUUUUCCAAAGUCUUUAGCCCUCUCUGCCAAAGUGUUGUAGUGCCUUGCCAAACUAUAAAUCUUAGGGUUCCAUAGCAUUGAGUCAUGGCAGUUGAAGUAGUAUCAACCUGCAUUAAUUCAACAGUGUAGGUGCACCCUGAGACACAUCAUAGAAAGGCAGAGUGCAGAAGGGCUGAAAAACUGCUAUAUUUUCCAUGUAAGAGACAUAGGAAAAUGAGUUGCUUGCUUUUGUAAAUUGAUAAUAUUUCAAUCUUUAACUUGGUGAGCAGAUGAUAAAUGUUCCCUGUUGUCCUAAUUAUGAUAGGAAGAUUUAAAAAAUGUUUGAACUGUUGGCUUUGUCACUUUCUUUACUGUUGCUUUCUUCUAAGGUUACAUUCUGCCUCCAGUGAUUGGCUGUGGACUUUGUUUUGAAGCACUGGCUUACUGAGGUCUGCACAUGAAAGGUGUAUGCCAGAAAGAUGUUCUAGGCCAUCUGUUGCUGGAAGAAUGUUCUCAAUAAGCCACCUGGUGUUUCAGCAAGGAUUUGUUCUUGAUAAGCCUUGGUUUACUUAAUAAACAAUAAUACUAAGAGAGUAAAGGGGAGAAGAUAGGCCAACGCUUUUCCUCUUGUUACACAAUUUUGAAUAAUAACAUUCAGGUCAUUUCUUUUUGUGCUUCAUCUAUCAUUAAAGCAAUUUUCUUUUCACUUUGAAAACGGAAGGUGAUGAGUAAUGUUAAACAAAAGGAAUCACACAAUGAUUAGUAUAAUGUUCUGUGCAGUAUAUGAUUUAAUUUGGAGCACUAGAUAGCCACCUGCUGUAGUUUUUGUCUUAAGCUGCAGUUUGGCAAGAGAGGCUGGGCUGUUUUGGAUCUCUUUUUAUUUGUCAUGUUUGGAACCAUCUGAAUCGGCUGUGAACUGCCAUGAUGAAAUGCUUAGCUACUGAGUGUUUAUACAAAUAAAACCAAAACUCCUUGUUUUUUGCAUAGUUUGAGGAUGUUGAUACAACAUUUUAACUUCAUCAAAAACUAGCUCAUGUUGUUGUCGAAAUCUCUAAAAUAAGAAAAGGAUCCUGUUAGCAUUGAGGAUUCUAUUUCCCAAACUGUAUUUAGCAAAUGUUUGUUCUCUUACUAGAUGGCUUCAUUAGUAGUUAGGAAAUAUGGGGGUAUCGGCCAAAUGUGAUCUGCUUUGUGGUUAACAAUACCAUGUCAACAGGAAGACGUGAAGCUGGUGUAACAUAGUAGUAUUCCGGACCAGAUGGAUCAAACUCCAAACAUUUAGGCUUCCAGUAACAACCCAUUCAUUAAAAAGAGUACAAGUGCGCAGAUGAUAAAGAAGCAGCCAUUCUGAUAUUGAACUAGGCUUCCUCUGGUAGUGGAGGUCUUUUGAAAGGAAGAAUAAAUUAAGAAUCAACACAAAUAGAUUGUGGGAAAUAUAGAACUAGUAGGUGUUUGUAUGGAGCCUCUGGUGGUGCAGUGGAUUAAACCUCUGAGCUUCUGAACUUGCUGACCAAAAGAUCAGUGGUUCAAAUUCGGGGAGCGUCAUUUGCCCCAGCUUCUGCCAACCUAGCAGUUUGAAAACAUGCAAAUGUGAGUAGAUUAAUAGGUACCGCUCUGGUGGGAAGGUAACGGCGUUCCAUGCAAUCAUGCUGGCCACAUGACCUUGGAGGUGUCUACGGACAACGCUGGCUCUUUGGUUUAGAAAUUGAGAUGAGCGCCAACUCCCAGAGUCGAACAUCUAGACUUAAUGUCAGGGGACAACCAUUACUUAGGUGUUUGUAUGUGCUAAAAAGAGGGGACAAGUCUUUCUUAUAUGCAUGCUUGCUUUAAAAAAAUAUUUUUCCCUUGUAGCAUAAAAAAACCAGGAUACCUUUACUCCAAAAUGCACUUAGACAAUCAGGUGACACAACAUAAAACAUGUAUGUAAAAUAGUUAUAAGUAUUAAGUGCAAUAAAUAAGGCUGAACAAAUUGGCUGGAAUUAAGCAUUUGCUGGAAUAUUUUGUACCUCCAAGAUGUCACAAAUCGGUUCCACCAUUCAAUUUAACUUUCAGUCCUUUUCAUGGGUUUCUUUCUCAAAAUCUGACUGACAGUGCAAUAGGAUUUAGAAAUAAGCCGUACAGAGUUUAUUGGGACUUACUCUCAAGGAAUGCAGCCUUAAUGUGUUAAUUUGAUCAAGCAAUUAUAUAAGCCAGUCAUCUUUUCCAGUCAUGAAUUAAUCUUAUACUUUUAAAAUCAUAAUUUCUUCAGUUGCAAGUAAGUUAUUAAUCAUUUCCUGAUUAUUACUGUCUGUUUAAUCUAAUGCAUGAUUCUAGCCAAAUAAAACUUUAUAAGAGGGAUAAGCAAAAUAUUCAGUCUCACAGUAGAAGACUAUGUGAGUAAGUGAGUGAAGUCUUUUCCUUCCUAAUAAACUCAGGCAAAAGUAAUAUCCUGCAGCCUCUUCUGGCUUGUGUGUUUUUCCUUGUUAAUAAAGGUUGAUAUGAUUUAACCAUAUAUGUACCAGUUUUCAUUUGUAAAAUGUCUUGGCGGUGGAUGGGGAGGAUAUAAACUAGAGAGUUGAUAGUAUUCCUUACUAAUCUGACUUCAGAUAUCUUUGCUUUGCUAAGAUUGCUAACUGGGGGCUGGAUACAGGGAGCACAUACUUCUCUUGUUUUAAUAAAUCCACUGACUGUGGCUCCAUUUCCAGGCACAAUUCAAAGUGUGGAUUUUGACCUAUAAUAUCUACAGUAGAGUCUCACUUAUCCAACACUCACUUAUCCAACGUUCUGGAUUAUCCAACGCAUUUUUGUAGUCAAUGUUUUCAAUACAUCAUGAUAUUUUGGUGCUAAAUUCGUAAAUACAGUAAUUACUACAUAGCAUUACUGUGUAUUGAACUACUUUUUCUGUCAAAUUUGUUGUAUAACAUGAUGUCUUGGUGCUUAAUUUGUAAAAUCAUAACCUAAUUUGAUGUUUAAUAGGCUUUUCCUUAAUCUCUCCUUAUUAUCCAACAUAUUCGCUUAUCCAACGUUCUGCUGGCCCGUUUAUGUUGGAUAAGUGAGACUCUACUGUAUGUGGUGCAGGUCCAGGUUAGGAGCCCACAGUGGCACAGUGGGUUAAAUCCUUGUUCCCGCAGGACUGCUGACUUGAAGGUUGGGUUGCUGACCUGAAGUUUUCCAAUUCAAAUCCAGCCACCCACAAGGAUGAUAAAAACAUCAAAACAUCUGGGUGUCCCCUGGGCAACAUCCUUGCAGACGGCCAAUUCUCUCAUACCAGAAGCGACUUGCAGUUUCUCAAGUCGUUCCUGCCACACACAAAAAAGUCCAGGUUAUUUAAAGAACCAUAUUUUUCCUUAAAAAUCUGCCAGUGUUUUGUGUUUUGCUGGGGAUGCCCUUCUCUUUGUCCUACUUCUUCACAGUUUAUAUCUGGUGAGAACAUUUGCAUCUCAAUCAAAGAGAUAAACGUGGGAUAUAAAUAUAACUAUAACAACAACAACAGCAUUGGAGAGGGUCUUCUUGGUGACUGCUCCCAGGUAAGAUUGGCACCCUCUCAAGUUUUGUUCUGCAGACAAAGAUUUUUCUGCUUCAACAGACCUUUGAAGACUGAGUGUGUAAGACCCAUCCCGCUUAAACAAUGUGAUGGACUUUCUGUAUGUUUUUUUGUUGUGCUUUUUUUAAUGGUUUUGGCUUUUAACUGGUUUCAGUUUUUUAAUGUUUCAGUUUUGUAAAUUAUAAUUCUAUCUGCAUUUUGUCUGUUGUAAGCCACCUGGUAUCCCAUUCUGGAGAAGGGCAGGAAAUAAGAAUAACAACAAUAAUUCAUUUCUUUCAAACAUUCUGGAUCAUUAGCUAAUGGCCUUCUUUGCACACAGAUUGUCAGCUUGUGUUCUGCACCAACCUCAGAAAACAGAAGUUUAAAGCCAAGUGAAAAGCUGUUUCCUUUUCUCUAAGGAUAUAUCUUUCUGAUUCUACUUUGUAUAAAGGCUCCAUGUAGUUGCAAGCCAAUAUUAAUUCAUAUAUCAAAAACUUGGUGCAUGAAUAUUAAAAAACAUACCUUUUAAAAUGGGAAAUCUGAGUUGUCAUUUUGAUACUGAGUAAUACACUUGUUUAAAGUCCAACUUGCUAAUGUUCCUUGAUAGUCUUUCAUGUAAAUGAUUUCCAUGUUACAUUGAUUUUGAUUACUGUAUAUAAUAGAAUUAUAGACCAGAAAUGCCAAGGCAGCAUAGGAAAAUGGGUAUUUGGGAAGCAGCAUGCUAAAAUGAUGAAAGUUUGCAGGUUUUACUGCUUUCCGGUAUUUGUCUCACUGAAUUCAUUUGUGUUUUGAGCAGCAAUGUUGUUCAAGAAAAGAUGGGAAAGGACUAAUGCUCUUCCUCUUUGUCGCAGUGCAUGGGUCAUCUGCAGGCCAGCAUUCUCUGGUGAUUUUGAGAAAACUCAAGAGCGUGCUAACCUUUUGCCUAAUAUGUCUGAAUACUGGCUUGAACCUCUUGUCUUGGUGACUCCCUUAAGUGUACUGAAAGCAUGCUUGAGCUUCCCCUUUUCCUGGCAAAAUGGACCACUGCCAGAAAGAAGAUUCAAAACAAAGUCUAUUUGAAUGCACAAAAGCUGUUAUUGGAAUUGUGUGUGAGAUAAUCCAAUCUUUGACCGCAGUUUAUUCUCAGUAUCAGGACCCUGGAGGAUGAAGGUCUGUAAGCAGUAGCUUGGAAAAGAUAUACAUGAAUAUGUAAUCUAGGUCAAAGUAGAGUACAUGGUUCAGGACUUUGAAAGUAGGCAUUCAAUCAGUCUAGAGUCCAUAAUGCAUUCCC